rnacentral:rRNA from 1 species
UACAGAGGUCCCAAGCGUUGUUCGGAUUCAUUGGGCGUAAAGGGUGUGUAGGUGGCGCCGUAAGUCGGGGGUGAAAUCUCGGGGCUUAACCGGAAAAGUGCCUUGGAUACUGGUGGUCUCGAGUGAGGUAGGGGCAUGUGGAACUUCUGGUGGAGCGGUGAAAUGCGUUGAUAUCAGAAGGAACUCCGGUGGCGAAAGCGACGUGCUGGACCUCUUCUGACGCUGAGGCGCGAAAGCUAGGGGAGCGAACGGG